rnacentral:rRNA from 1 species
AGAACGCUGGCGGCGUGCCUAACACAUGCAAGUCGAGCGGAGAUAAGCGGAAGGUAACUGAAGCUUAUCUUAGCGGCGGACGGGUGAGUAACACGUGGGCAACCUGCCUUGAAGUGGGGGAUAACACCGGGAAAUCGGUGCUAAUACCGCAUAACAUACACAAACUGCAUGGUAAGUGUAUCAAAGGAGCAAUCCGCUUUAAGAUGGGCCCGCGGCUGAUUAGCUAGUUGGUAAGGUAACGGCUUACCAAGGCGACGAUCAGUAGCCGACCUGAGAGGGUGACCGGCCACACUGGAACUGAGACACGGUCCAGACUCCUACGGGAGGCAGCAGUGGGGAAUAUUGCGCAAUGGGGGGAACCCUGACGCAGCAACGCCGCGUGGAGGAAGAAGGUCUUCGGAUUGUAAACUCCUGUCUUCUGGGACGAAUAAUGACGGUACCAGAGGAGGAAGCCACGGCUAACUACGUG